GCUCCCAUGGCGUAGUGGUCACUGCGCUCGCCUUGCACGCGGGAGACCCGGGUUCGAUUCCCGGGGGAAUCA
rnacentral:tRNA from 1 species